AACGAACGCUGGCGGCAUGCCUAAUACAUGCAAGUCGAACGAGAUCUUCGGAUCUAGUGGCGCACGGGUGCGUAACGCGUGGGAAUCUGCCCUUGGGUUCGGAAUAACUUCGGGAAACUGAAGCUAAUACCGGAUGAUGACGUAAGUCCAAAGAUUUAUCGCCCAAGGAUGAGCACGCGUAGGAUUAGCUAGUUGGUAAGGUAAAGGCUCACCAAGGCGACGAUCCUUAGCUGGUCUGAGAUGAUGAUCAGCCACACUGGGACUGAGACGCGGCCCACACUCCUACGGGAGGCAGCAGUAGGGAAUAUUUGACAAUGGGAGCAACCUUGAUCCAGCAAUGCCGCGUGAGUGAUGAAGGCCUUAGGGUUGUAAAGCUCUUUUACCUGGGAUGAUAAUGACAGUACCGGUAGAAUAGGCCACGGCUAACGCCGUGCCAGCAGCGGCAGUAA
rnacentral:rRNA from 1 species